GACGUAGGGCGCGAGCGUUGUCCGGAUUUAUUGGGCGUAAAGAGCUCGUAGGCGGCUUGUCGCGUCGACUGUGAAAACCCGCGGCUCAACCGCGGGCCUGCAGCCGAUACGGGCAGGCUAGAGUUCGGUAGGGGAGCGUGGAAUUCCUGGUGUAGCGGUGAAAUGCGCAGAUAUCAGGAGGAACACCAGCGGCGAAGGCGGCGCUCUGGGCCGGAACUGACGCUGAGGAGCGAAAGCGUGGGUAGCAAACAGG
rnacentral:rRNA from 1 species